GACGGACGCUGGCGGCGCGCUUAACACAUGCAAGUCGAGCGAGAACCCAGGCUUCGGCCUGGGGGAAAGCGGCGAACGGGUGAGUAACACGUGGGUAAUCUGCCCUCGGCAUCGGGAUAGCCCGGGGAAACCCGGAUUAAUACCGAAUGGCCCAUCUGCUCUUCGGAGCGGCUGGAAAAGGUAGCUUUGGCCUCCGGCCGAGGAGGAGCCCGCGGCGGAUUAGCUUGUUGGUGAGGUAACGGCUCACCAAGGCGACGAUCCGUAGCUGGUCUGCGAGGACGAUCAGCCACACUGGGACUGAGACACGGCCCAGACGCCUACGGGAGGCAGCAGUGGGGAAUCUUGCGCAAUGGACGAAAGCCUGACGCAGCGACGCCGCGUGCGGGAAGAAGGCCUUCGGGUUGUAAACCGCUUUCAGGAGGGACGAAGCCACUCGGGUUAAUAGCCCAGAGGGUGACGGUACCUCCAGAAGAAGCCCCGGCUAACUACGUGCCAGCCGCCGCAGUAACAC
rnacentral:rRNA from 1 species